rnacentral:rRNA from 1 species
UACGGAGGGAGCUAGCGUUAUUCGGAAUUACUGGGCGUAAAGCGCACGUAGGCGGCUUUGUAAGUUAGAGGUGAAAGCCUGGAGCUCAACUCCAGAAUUGCCUUUAAGACUGCAUCGCUUGAAUCCAGGAGAGGUGAGUGGAAUUCCGAGUGUAGAGGUGAAAUUCGUAGAUAUUCGGAAGAACACCAGUGGCGAAGGCGGCUCACUGGACU